GAUUAUCCUCCUCGCUUGUAAGGCGUUGGUCCAAGACCAUUUCCCCGUUAGGUUCUUUGAAUAAGGCAGUUCGGGGAAGGAGAAGCAGAAGCAGAAAGGGGGGGGGGGAGAGAAAGAAAGUGCCGUCCCUCGCCUUUUCAGCAGCGUCAGGCUAGGGCUUCUAUCUAUCUCCGGGAGUAAGGGAGGAGAGCCGAGAGAAAGGAGGGCUAGUGGAGACCCACGUGACAUCUCCUUGCUGUCUGUCUGCCGGAGGAGGGAGGAGCUGUUUUCUCUGCAGCGUCGUGGACAGGAACCUCUCCCUACACAGCGGCCUCCGUCCUUCCAUCGCGUCCCUUCAGAAGCAGAGAGAGCAAGGGGGCUGGCGCUGGAUAAAAAUGAAAAAUAAAAUUAUUCCAUCCCUUUCCCAAACCCUUCUCACCAACCCCGGCUUUUUUUCUAUUUCAGGGGUGACGUGAUUUUUUCUUUUACAGGCCCCUUCCCCAAGCCGUUCUGGCAGGGUUUGGGUCAUCGCUGCAGGUAGUGAAGAAGAUGGAAUCCUCGUGGAUUUUCUGUGGAGCGGGAUGCAGAAGAGUUAAUUAAAAGUGUUUGGGACAACACUCUGGGGAUUUACUCUUUGAUAUCAGGAUUUAUUUCACAUCUUCUUUGUCCUGACUAUAUCCCUUAAAACAUAGAGCACAAUUUCCUAAUGUGCAAAUGUUUGAUGUCUGCUGUUCCCUAUACUCCUGUGCAUAGCUAUAUUCCUGUUUCUGCUGAAAGCAGCCUACAAUCCAGGGGCUCAGGGAGAAGAAGAAUUAAAUGGUCAAAGAUCAAUCGUGGAAAAGCUAUGUUUAGAAUGUCUGAACACAUGAAUCACAACAUGCCAGGAUAGAAACAGCAUAUUGGUUGCAGAAAUAGCAGACAUGGUAUGUUAUAAUAGAACUCAAUAGCAUGUUCUCCUUUGGCAUUGGCUAAUGGGAUUGCGGUCUUUGUUUUCAUUAUACAAAAGUAUUCUUUAUUGUAUGGUGUAAGGUAAUCAUAACUAAUUGUUUAACUGAAGUCCAAGUAAAUAGCAUUGCAUAAUGAGGAUGCAGUCAUAUGACCUGGGAGCCUGGGAGGUGUCCUUUGAGUUCAGACAACUUAUUUCUGAGUAAAUAGAAGGUUAUGAUGUAAUGGUGAUUAGAAUUGAUUAAACAUAUUUAUGGGUGCAACUAAAUGCUGCUAAUUGUUUUGCUUUGUUUUAAAAUGAUAAUUAUACACAUAAAAUAUGAACUAUCCUCACAACCAAAUUAAACAUUUUUCCAGAUCAUAUUUUUUCUGCCCUCACAACAGAAAGUUUAAAAAAUAUUCAAAAAAUUAUAAUUUGUACUUUUGCUACUGUGACUAUUGUGGAAUAACUAUUCCAUAAUUUUAUUUCUAUAA